rnacentral:pre_miRNA from 1 species
CAAGUACUCCCUCCGUCCGGAAAUACUUGUCAUUGAAAUGGAUGUAUCUAGAUGUAUUUUAGUUCUAGAUACAUCCAUUUUCAUCCAUUUUGAUGACAAGUAAUUCCGGACGGAGAGAGUACCUU